GAAAAAAUAGCUUCUACUUACUAUAUAGGGCCAAAAAUAAGGCAAAAUAAGGUAGAUUGGAAAAAUAACUGAUAUAGACAUCUUUAGGAGGAAGUUAAGAGUAAAUUCUAGUAAAAAUUACUUAAAAAAAACUAGAUGUUGAUACCUGGAGAGGGCCGGUUAUGAACUAGGAUCAAAAUCAGACCCUAAGGUACAAAACCGAGUCUCGACAAUGACUUUAGUACUCUAUGGCACAUCAGAGAAAGGAAUUUGAUAGCUGAUUGAAUAAGAUUUCUAUAGGUGUUGAUUUUGGAUGAUUCAGAGUUGUUAUGACUUUGUAAGAGCUUUGCAAAGUCAAGGUUAAUUUCGGAUGACUUGGAUUUUAUGAAAUAAAAUAGGAUUUAUAUUUUGGAUGAUUUAGGAGUUUUGUAGGAGAUCUAUAGGUGAAAUUUUGUGGAUUUAUGAUUAUAGUUGUGUUCAAUAUGUGUUGUGAAUUUGAGCUCGAUCUAAUAGUUGAAUUGAAGGAUAUUGAGGUUUAAGUUGAUCAAGGUCUUAGAAAGUAGAAUUUUAGGUCCAGGGAGGGUUU
rnacentral:lncRNA from 1 species